CAAGCUACACCGCGUUCGCGAAGAACGCCGCCAAUCAGAAACGAUCAGGUCUAGCCUUUGCCCUGCCCGCAGUCUAACGCGAAUGCGCCUGCGCACAGGUGGGCAGGAAGGCGGGGCUAGGUUCUGGAGUAGAAGACUGUGACGUGCAGGACUGCUGGUGUAUCUGUGAAGUGUCUGCAAGUGGAUCGAGCUGCUGCAGCUGCUGCCUGCUAACGUAGGAUCUGAACUGCUGAUUUCCAAACAACACAGCCCACCACCCACCAGAAGUAGUAGGAAAGAAAGGAUACGGGGGAAGUGGACCAGUUUAAGAAGGGUUUUGGGAGCAAAUCCCAUCUUCAUUGUCAGGAAAUCAGCAGGUCAGUUCACAGGUCAGCAGCAGCAGCUCGAUCCACUCGCAAACACUUCAUGGAUACAUCAACAGUCCAGUUCUGUAGAGUCAGGAUAGCAAACACGGAUCAAAGGCAGUGGCACGACCUGGCUCAACCCAGCAGAGACAGCCAGGCCUCAGCCAAAUUGGCACAAGUCAACAGAACGCAGCAAGAAGGACAGUGGGGUGUCAGAAAGGUUUUGAGCAGGAGCGGGAUAGUUUAGAGUUUUGAACUCUAGUUCAGAAGUCCUUAUUAUUCGUGAUAUACACACGCAGAUGAAUAAAUGUAAUUUUAAAAUUAG
ensembl:lncRNA